GGUUAAGCGACUAAGCGUACACGGUGGAUGCCCUGGCAGUCAGAGGCGAUGAAGGACGUGCUAAUCUGCGAUAAGCGUCGGUAAGGUGAUAUGAACCGUUAUAACCGGCGAUUUCCGAAUGGGGAAACCCAGUGUGUUUCGACACACUAUCAUUAACUGAAUCCAUAGGUUAAUGAGGCGAACCGGGGGAACUGAAACAUCUAAGUACCCCGAGGAAAAGAAAUCAACCGAGAUUCCCCCAGUAGCGGCGAGCGAACGGGGAGGAGCCCAGAGUCUGAAUCAGUGUGUGUGUUAGUGGAAGCGUCUGGAAAGGCGCGCGAUACAGGGUGACAGCCCCGUACACAAAAAUGCACAUACUGUGAGCUCGAUGAGUAGGGCGGGACACGUGGUAUCCUGUCUGAAUAUGGGGGGACCAUCCUCCAAGGCUAAAUACUCCUGACUGACCGAUAGUGAACCAGUACCGUGAGGGAAAGGCGAAAAGAACCCCGGCGAGGGGAGUGAAAAAGAACCUGAAACCGUGUACGUACAAGCAGUGGGAGCCUCUUUUAUGGGGUGACUGCGUACCUUUUGUAUAAUGGGUCAGCGACUUAUAUUCUGUAGCAAGGUUAACCGAAUAGGGGAGCCGAAGGGAAACCGAGUCUUAACUGGGCGUUAAGUUGCAGGGUAUAGACCCGAAACCCGGUGAUCUAGCCAUGGGCAGGUUGAAGGUUGGGUAACACUAACUGGAGGACCGAACCGACUAAUGUUGAAAAAUUAGCGGAUGACUUGUGGCUGGGGGUGAAAGGCCAAUCAAACCGGGAGAUAGCUGGUUCUCCCCGAAAGCUAUUUAGGUAGCGCCUCGUGAAUUCAUCUCCGGGGGUAGAGCACUGUUUCGGCAAGGGGGUCAUCCCGACUUACCAACCCGAUGCAAACUGCGAAUACCGGAGAAUGUUAUCACGGGAGACACACGGCGGGUGCUAACGUCCGUCGUGAAGAGGGAAACAACCCAGACCGCCAGCUAAGGUCCCAAAGUCAUGGUUAAGUGGGAAACGAUGUGGGAAGGCCCAGACAGCCAGGAUGUUGGCUUAGAAGCAGCCAUCAUUUAAAGAAAGCGUAAUAGCUCACUGGUCGAGUCGGCCUGCGCGGAAGAUGUAACGGGGCUAAACCAUGCACCGAAGCUGCGGCAGCGACGCUUAUGCGUUGUUGGGUAGGGGAGCGUUCUGUAAGCCUGUGAAGGUGUGCUGUGAGGCAUGCUGGAGGUAUCAGAAGUGCGAAUGCUGACAUAAGUAACGAUAAAGCGGGUGAAAAGCCCGCUCGCCGGAAGACCAAGGGUUCCUGUCCAACGUUAAUCGGGGCAGGGUGAGUCGACCCCUAAGGCGAGGCCGAAAGGCGUAGUCGAUGGGAAACAGGUUAAUAUUCCUGUACUUGGUGUUACUGCGAAGGGGGGACGGAGAAGGCUAUGUUGGCCGGGCGACGGUUGUCCCGGUUUAAGCGUGUAGGCUGGUUUUCCAGGCAAAUCCGGAAAAUCAAGGCUGAGGCGUGAUGACGAGGCACUACGGUGCUGAAGCAACAAAUGCCCUGCUUCCAGGAAAAGCCUCUAAGCAUCAGGUAACAUCAAAUCGUACCCCAAACCGACACAGGUGGUCAGGUAGAGAAUACCAAGGCGCUUGAGAGAACUCGGGUGAAGGAACUAGGCAAAAUGGUGCCGUAACUUCGGGAGAAGGCACGCUGAUAUGUAGGUGAAGUCCCUUGCGGAUGGAGCUGAAAUCAGUCGAAGAUACCAGCUGGCUGCAACUGUUUAUUAAAAACACAGCACUGUGCAAACACGAAAGUGGACGUAUACGGUGUGACGCCUGCCCGGUGCCGGAAGGUUAAUUGAUGGGGUCAGCGCAAGCGAAGCUCUUGAUCGAAGCCCCGGUAAACGGCGGCCGUAACUAUAACGGUCCUAAGGUAGCGAAAUUCCUUGUCGGGUAAGUUCCGACCUGCACGAAUGGCGUAAUGAUGGCCAGGCUGUCUCCACCCGAGACUCAGUGAAAUUGAACUCGCUGUGAAGAUGCAGUGUACCCGCGGCAAGACGGAAAGACCCCGUGAACCUUUACUAUAGCUUGACACUGAACAUUGAGCCUUGAUGUGUAGGAUAGGUGGGAGGCUUAGAAGUGUGGACGCCAGUCUGCAUGGAGCCGACCUUGAAAUACCACCCUUUAAUGUUUGAUGUUCUAACGUUGACCCCUAAUCGGGGUUGCGGACAGUGUCUGGUGGGUAGUUUGACUGGGGCGGUCUCCUCCUAAAGAGUAACGGAGGAGCACGAAGGUUGGCUAAUCCUGGUCGGACAUCAGGAGGUUAGUGCAAUGGCAUAAGCCAGCUUGACUGCGAGCGUGACGGCGCGAGCAGGUGCGAAAGCAGGUCAUAGUGAUCCGGUGGUUCUGAAUGGAAGGGCCAUCGCUCAACGGAUAAAAGGUACUCCGGGGAUAACAGGCUGAUACCGCCCAAGAGUUCAUAUCGACGGCGGUGUUUGGCACCUCGAUGUCGGCUCAUCACAUCCUGGGGCUGAAGUAGGUCCCAAGGGUAUGGCUGUUCGCCAUUUAAAGUGGUACGCGAGCUGGGUUUAGAACGUCGUGAGACAGUUCGGUCCCUAUCUGCCGUGGGCGCUGGAGAACUGAGGGGGGCUGCUCCUAGUACGAGAGGACCGGAGUGGACGCAUCACUGGUGUUCGGGUUGUCAUGCCAAUGGCACUGCCCGGUAGCUAAAUGCGGAAGAGAUAAGUGCUGAAAGCAUCUAAGCACGAAACUUGCCCCGAGAUGAGUUCUCCCUGACUCCUUGAGAGUCCUGAAGGAACGUUGAAGACGACGACGUUGAUAGGCCGGGUGUGUAAGCGCAGCGAUGCGUUGAGCUAACCGGUACUAAUGAACCGUGAGGCUUAACCUU
rnacentral:rRNA from 1 species